rnacentral:lncRNA from 1 species
GAUAAUGUAUGAUCAUCAUCAGGAACCACCAAAAUCUCUCAUCAUGUCAUCUCUAGCAUUCCGCAUCUGUGCGGUUUGUCCAAAUGUGGCCCUCUACGUAGCACCGCUGGCAUUGUUUCUCAAACCAUCCGACGACGAAGGCUUAUUCUAUUUAAUGAUUUCUGUUUUGUUAGGCUUCUCGUAUUUCCAAAUAAGUUUUAUACAGCCGCUGCUACUAGAUUGUGAUGCUGAUACCUUGAAGUUUAUUAGAAGCCAACACCUGGUUUUUAUGGAAACCAAUAUCGCUGCUGCUACUACAGUAAAAGAACCACCUAACAAAUGAUUUGUUUUUAGUUUAUACUAGAGGGAUAUAGAGAGAAAGAAAGAGAAAUGUUCCUGUCCAUGAUCCUAAAAUUAUUAAAGUUUGGGAAAAUUAUCAAACCAUGAGUUUUAAUAGUAGUUUUAUUUGUUAAAGCUAUUAAGUCAUGUGGUUUAAUACUAUAAUUACAUAAUGCUAUUAAACACACUAUUUAAUAUCUUUUCUAAACUUUAAUAAAAUCCAAAAUCUUGGACUAACAAUUGAAAUCUUGUUAUUAUAUAUACUUGCAUGGUCAGUGCAUUUAGAGUGCGUUUGGCAUAUUGUAUUAUAUUACGGCAUUAUUUUAAUGCUUGUGUGUUGUAUUAUUAUAAUACUGUAUUGUAUUAAGUUUUUAUGAUUAAUUUAAAUUAAAUAUUAUAUUAAUAAAUUACAUUAAUAUAUUUAAAUUGUAAUAAUAUUUUAUAAUAUUAUUUAUACUAUUAUUAAUUUUAAAUUAAUAUUAUUAAAAUUUAUUCAUAUUUAAAUAAUUUUUAUUAGUUAUAACCAACAACAACAGCAACAACAACAACAACAACAACAACAACAACAAUAAUAUAAUAUUAAUUAAAACAUAAAAAUUAAUAAAUUUCUGCUGUGAAAAAAGCAAAUGUAAAGUUGGAAACCGAAAGGGGGAAAAAAAAAGAAAGAGCAAGCUGGCCCAUUAUGCAGUGUCCCUAUAACUUUUAGCUUACCAAAUAUGUAAUGAGGAGUCAUAAUAAAUUUAAUGUAAUGAAGAGUCAUAAUACAUCAACCAAACAUGCCUUUAUAGUGUGUUUGACAUACUGUAUUAUAUUAUGUUGUAUUGUAUUAAUAUUAUAUUAUAAUAAUAUUAUAGUUCUACACUGCAUUGUAUUAAUUUUUUUGUGAUUAACUUAAAUUAUAUAUUUAGAAAAUAAUAUUUUUUAGUACCUAGAAAAAUUCUAAAUAUAGAAGUCUUAAAUUUUAGAAAUUUAACAUUAUUUUUUAGUAUAAAUGUUAAAAAAUCAUUUUUUUUUCAUAAAGAUCGAAGCUUAUAGCCUUAUAUUCUCGGCAGCAUAACAUUUAUUUUUUAGUAUUUUCUAAAUAUAUAACAUCUGAAAUAAAGAAUGAAGUGAAUAAUUUAAUCAAAUAAUCUCUAAAUAAUAUCAUAAUGUAAUGAUAUUUUAUAUUAUUAUUUUUAUUGGUAUAAUUUUAAAUUAAUAUUAUUUAAAUCUGCUGUACCGNNNNNNNNNNNNNNNNNNNNNNNNNNNNNNNNNNNNGCCGUACAGCAGAUUUAUAUCAAUAAUUAUGAUGUAAAAAUAAAAGAAAAUAAAAAUUAAUAUUAUAUAAUAUUAUAUUAAAUUAAAAAAUUGUAUUUAUUUAUUAUUAUUAACAAAAGCAAAAGUAAAAAGGAAAAAAAUAAAAAAAAAAACUAAAGCAAAACGCUAAUGCGCUAGUUGGCGCAUUAGUAUACCCCCUUAAUUCCUUGUAAAUUCCAAAUAUAAUAUUGGUAUUAAGUUAAUGUAAAUAGUAUUUUAAUACUAGUAAUCCCAUGAUCCAAACACACCCUUAAUUAUUUCAGUAAUCACAAUUUAUUCUUAUUCACUCCUUAAAGGAAUUAGCGUCAGCUGAUUUAAAAAGCAAGAGAAAGCACCAGCUAGCAAAGUAUCUGAUGCAAACUCAUGAGCUGAUGAGGAAUUAAUGUGAUACCACUUUGUAACGUACUCUUUUUCCAAAUCACCGAAAAGAAAAAUAAAUAAAUAAAAUAAAGCACUAUCUGACGUAUCAUGUUUAAGAAUAAUUUUUUACUACUAUUUUGUUCCUUGCUUGAUUCUACUUCAAUUCCUGCAUGAAUUAAAUCUUACGCCAAUUGCUUGCAGAAAGUCAUUCAAUCGAAUUGAAAUUUAUACAUAGGAGAUUGAAUCCAGAAUUCGAGUCGUCGAGAAACUCAAUUUCCAACAAUAAAUUUCUCAGAAGCAUAAGAAUAUAUGUAUUAUGAAAUUCACUAUUCCUUAGAAGUGACGACCUAAAACUCAAGAAUUGUUAUUUAAACUUUUAACUUGAUCGACCAUGAAAACGUUUACUAUCAGUUUUCCUUGUUAAAUUCAAAGUGAGGAUACCUCCACUAAAGCAGGAUUUUACACACGCGCGCGCGCGCACACACACAUAUAUAUAUAUAUAAUAUAUUAGUCGAAGAUGAUGGGACGGGACUUGGGCUGGCCUUAAUUUGUCUUUUCGGAUUUGUUAGACUUGAUAAGAGUAAAUCUUAUCUUUACUAUAAGAUAAAAGUCUGAGUAGGUUUGGCCCACACUAUCUCAACAGUUAAAAUAAUAAAAUAAUUUACUAAUAUUCAACAAUGAUAUUCUCACAAAAAUGGAUACAAAGGUUUGUACAAUGAGGGCCUUUUUACAAAUCAUUUCAAAGUUUUGUGUUAUUUUUAUAAUUUAUGAAUUUUAUUAAUUUUGAUUGAUUCGAGGAUUUCCCAUUCUAUCUCUUCAACAUCUAAUUUUAAAUUUCUUUAAAGUUUUGACCAUAUCUUUAUAGAGUUCUAAAUGAUUAUCUUUUUCAUAAAAAGCUAUACUUAAAUUAAUCCCUGAAUUUAUAAUCAUUUGUCUUCUUUGAGUUAUAGACCAAAUUUUUUCUUCUAACAUAUCUAUGUAUACUCCUAAGCCAUCUUCCCAGCUUAGAUACAUUCUAUCAAAACUUUCGCAUAUAAAUUGUAAUUUGAGAUCAGCAUCUUGAAUCAACAUCUCUAUAUUAUUAUUAUUAUUUAUUGUUUUACGCUUGAUUUUGAGUUUUAUUAUUAUUAUUUCGAGGGUAGUUAAAAUUGAUUCUAUUAAUGUUAUCCUGUUUUCUUCUUCAAAAGAAUCGAAUAUUUCUGGAUCAUUAAUUUCGUUUAUUUGUUCAGAUAAGCGUUUGUUUGCAGUUAAUCUAGUUUUAAUCAACGAAAUUGUAUAAGCAACUUGAUAUUCUUGACAAAAGUCUAAAUGAUCUAUUGCAUCUAAAAAUUUAUUAACAGAUCUUUCCAUUUUUAAGAAAUUGAGUUACUCUUAUCACUUCCAAUCUUACAACAUCUCAUAAAACAAACAAGGCCCAACAUACUUCCAUUUGUAGUUAAAAUAAUAGAAGAGUUCAGAUUACUAACCAAUGUACUAUCUCUCGGAAUUCUGAGAUAGACUCACUUAUUGCCUCCAGCCAUAGAGAGGUCCAUGGUCAGCACCGCCAUAGCUCCACACAUCAUACACGAUCACUUCAAAGACUGUUCCACAUGGCCCAACACAACACACACCAAAAUGACCUAAUAGGAUAUGUCUAAAUGAUUUCCUUGCAGUUGUCUCUGGAAGAGUGCUUAGUAAUAGAAAAUCUUCUUCGUUUAGUACAAGUAUUGGCAUGUAAGAUUCUUGGUUAAUUUUCAAAAGAUGUUUAAGAUAUCUGGAAGAUGAUAAUUUCACUCAAAAACAUUUUAUUUAUUUCAUUAUUGAAAUUGUUUACAGAGGGAGGUUACAUAUAUUACAUAGGUAAUUGAAGGUUAGACACAUGCUGU